UUCAACUUUGCAAUUUUAUAUUACAAAAGAAAAAUAAAAGGAAUGAAACAAUAUACUUAGUAACACUUGUGAUGAAAAUUACAAGACUUGACCCUGGCGUUUUAGCACCCCGGCAACAGAGCCAAAAAUACUUGUCAGUAUUUAAUGCUAUAUCUCUUUUGCAAUUCCCAAGCGUAGGAAUCUAUCAGUAAAACACGAUAUUCAGAAGUCCCCAUGUCAUUUCCACAAGGAACUCAAAUUGCAAGGUCAAGUGUGGUGCAAGUAGAAAAAGUGUAAAAUUGUUUACUUGAUGGAGUUGAAGGAUCGAUUUGUAUCACUGAGUUUGGGAUUUAACUUCUGUUGCACUCCUCAAUUGGUUGAGGAUUUGCUUCAAUUGGUUGAACUUUGGAAGCUCAAUUUUUCUGAUUUCCUUUAACCGGUUGAACAUUUAGGGCUGGACCGGUUGAACUCUCUCUCUGAUCUUUCUGCUGGUCUUCGAUCGGUUGAACUUUUUGCUUCAAUUGGUUGGGGGCUGCUUCUUCAUGCCUUUGGAUUUGUUCAACCGGUUGAACACUUUUGUUCAACCGGUUAAGGUAAAAAGGGUGUUGCCUUUGUUUCAGUUGCACCGAUUGAACAUUGGUAGUUCAAUCGGUUGAGCCAAGGCAGUGCUCCGUGCUCUUUCGAUCUCUUUAACGCUCCAAUUGACCUACAAAACCUAUUUACAAUACUUGCACCAAAUAAUGGUUAACUCGAACAUAUAAUAAGUGCAAUAAUGCUAAAUUGCAGGGGAAUUGACUGAUAACUUAGCAUUUUAUUGUGUGAAUCACUAUCCAAGUCCAAAACAAAAACAUAAAACCCAUCUCCCCUAAAUCCAAACUCACAAGCCCAAGCCCAAGCCCAUAUGAACAUUCCAUUUAAUCAAGCCAUGUCGGCCCAACCCAACCUGGAUUUACCCAACAUUACCCAAUCCACCCAACAGAUUUCUAGCUCAAAAUGAUGCCAUGAAAGCCCAACUAGAUAAGAUUGACCGCAUUGAGAAUGUUUAGAGAAAGACCAAGGGAAUUGAAGUCCUCGAUGCUCAAUGUCUAUGUUUAUCAAGAUGCCCGAUUUAGACAAUUUGAUGGUAACGGAGAUCCUAAGGUGCAUUUGAGGAUGUAUGUGGGAGUAUUCAGACACAUGGGGAUCCAAGAGGAGUUAUUGGGCUAACUUUUUCAAAAACUUUAACCGGAGCUACCUUGCUUUGGCUUUUAAAUCUUGAACCAUCCAAGGUUAGAACAUGGGAGAACAUAACCAACAUCUCUGUGACACAAUAUGCAUACAACACCCAACUCGAUGUGAUCACUAGAGACUUGGAGACCACUCGUCAAAAUGAAAAGGAAAACUUCUUCAAGUUUUUGGGAAGAUGGAGACCCAAAUCUGCCAUGAUGACUAUAAGACCUCAAAAAAAUAUCAAGUCCGAAUGGUGAUCAAGAAUUUGCAACCUCAACUCAUGAAACACCUCAUUAUUCAACCUUUAAGUACUUUUGAACAAUUGUUUAAUGCUGGAGUCGAAAUAGAGGAUGUCAUAGGAACCGGAAUUUUAGAGAGAAGUGAAAGUGGAUGAACAAAACCGAAGAGAUUUGGGGGAAACAGUCAGUAAAGUAGCAUAUGAGUCAACCAAAAUGAAUGCUAUUGUCAUGCGAGUUUUGCAAGAUUGGGCAAAAUCGAAGAGAAAAUUCACCUUGGGAGGAAUGUCAUUGUCCGAAGCACUCGAGAAGCUCAAGGGAGCUGGCCAUUUGAAACCACUUGCCCCCAUGCCACCACCAAACCCUCUUCCACCCAGCCAUAACCCCAAUCACUAUCGUGCCUUUCACCAAGCCCAAGGUGAUGCCGCACAAGAAUCAAC
rnacentral:lncRNA from 1 species